AUGGUAGAUGACAAAUUGGUCAGUCGCUCCUUUUGGGUAGGAGAUAUUAGCAUGUUCGAAUCGUGCCUAUCAUA
rnacentral:tRNA from 1 species